CUGUCUCGUCUUGAGAUACUCAUCCACAUCUGCUUUCAUCUGCUUCACUUUUAGAACUGCAUCAACUUCAGAAAGAAUGUGAGGGGCCUCCCUUAUUUCUGGAAGCAAAUCAAUCUUCAAGUUGGGAGUAGAUGGAUCCGGUAGCCUCAUAUUGCGGGGAAAUGCACUGAGAAUAAUAUUACGCAUUUGUAUGCAGCUAGGAGGAAUCACAUCACAAAAGGUGAAAUGAUAAUCACACAGAAAUUCUGGGAAAUCAUGGAGCAGAACCAGCAGCACCCUUAGUGUACC
rnacentral:misc_RNA from 1 species